rnacentral:sRNA from 1 species
GCUUAGUGAGCAGAGGAAGCAGUUUCUCUGGUGCUUUUUUUAAUAGAAUAUUUAAGAGUGCUCAGAAUCUCAACCACCACAGGUUGCAAUAAAUAUUCAGUUUGCUGUUGUGAUUAGAUGGUAUAGAUCAACAGACAACAUGCUGUAAUUUCAGGUUUGAUAUGCCACCAGAAUUUCCUAAUUUUGUUUUUAUAGCUAUCCCUCUUGACUUCGAUGUUAGUUCACCACUGACAUAUGGCACUCCCAGCUCUCGGGUAGAGGGAACACCAAGAAGUGGUGUUAGGGGCACACCUGUGAGACAGAGGCCUGACCUGGGCUCUGCACAGAAGGGCCUGCAAGUGGAUCUGCAGUCUGAUGGGGCAGCAGCAGAAGAUACAGUGGCAAGUGAGCAGUCUCUAGGCCAAAAACUUGUGAUCUGGGGAACAGAUGUAAAUGUGGCAGCAUGCAAAGAAAACUUUCAGAGAUUUCUUCAGCGUUUUAUUGACCCUCUGGCUAAAGAGGAAGAAAAUGUUGGCAUAGAUAUUACUGAACCUCUAUACAUGCAACGACUUGGGGAGAUUAAUGUUAUUGGCGAGCCAUUUUUAAAUGUAAACUGUGAACACAUCAAAUCAUUUGACAAAAAUUUGUAUAGACAACUCGUCUCUUACCCACAGGAAGUUAUUCCAACUUUUGACAUGGCUGUCAAUGAAAUCUUCUUUGACCGUUACCCUGACUCAAUCUUAGAACAUCAGAUUCAAGUGAGACCAUUCAACGCAUUGAAGACUAAGAACAUGAGAAACCUGAAUCCAGAAGACAUUGACCAGCUCAUCACCAUCAGCGGCAUGGUGAUCAGGACAUCCCAGCUGAUUCCCGAGAUGCAGGAGGCCUUCUUCCAGUGCCAAGUGUGUGCCCACACGGCCCGGGUGGAGAUGGACCGCGGCCGCAUU